rnacentral:rRNA from 1 species
UACGGGGGGGGCAAGCGUUGUUCGGAAUUACUGGGCGUAAAGGGCUGGUAGGCGGCCAACUAAGUCGGAUGUGAAAUCCCCAGGCUUAACCUGGGAACUGCAUCCGAUACUGGUCGGCUUGAAUCCGGGAGAGGGAUGCAGAAUUCCAGGUGUAGCGGUGAAAUGCGUAGAUAUCUGGAGGAACACCCGUGGCGAAAGCGGCGCGCUGGACCACUACUGACGCUGAAGAACGAAAGCUAGGGGAGCAAACAGG